rnacentral:rRNA from 1 species
GACGAACGCUGGCGGCAGGCCUAACACAUGCAAGUCGAACGAGUGGCGGACGGGUGAGUAAUGUCUGGGAAACUGCCCGAUGGAGGGGGAUAACUACUGGAAACAGUAGCUAAUACCGCAUACCAUCGGAUGUGCCCAGAUGGGAUUAGCUAGUAGGUGGGGUAACGGCUCACCUAGGCGACGAUCCCUAGCUGGUCUGAGAGGAUGACCAGCCACACUGGAACUGGGAAACGGUCCAGACUCCUACGGGAGGCAGCAGUGGGGAAUAUUGCACAAUGGGCGCAAGCCUGAUGCAGCGACGCCGCGUGGGGGAUGAAGGCCUUCGGGUUGUAAACUCCUUUCGCUAGGGACGCGGUACCUAGAUAAGAAGCACCGGCUAACUACGUGCCAGCAGCCGCGGUAAUAC